CACGAUGGUGGAUAUGCUUCUGGAGGUGGUGAAGGUGGUGGAGCUGGAGGUGGCCAUGCUGGUGGAGGAUAUGCUGGAGGAGGUGGUGGUGGAAGUGGAGCUGGAGGUGCUCAUGCUGGCGGAGAACAUGAUGGUGGAUAUGCUGCUGGAGGUGGUGAAGGUGGUGGUAGUGGAUAUGGUGGUGCAGGGUCAGCAGAUGGUGGAUAUGCUGCUGGAGGUGGUGAAGGUGGUGGUAGUGGAUAUGGUGGUGCAGGGUCAGCA
rnacentral:misc_RNA from 1 species